ensembl:lncRNA novel transcript, sense overlapping with ZNF643
AUUAUUAUUAUUAUUAUUAUCAUUAUUAUUAUUGUAGAGACAGUCUCACUAUGUUGCUGGACUGGUCUCAAACUCCUGGCUCCAAGCAGUUCUCCCACCUCAGUCUCCCAGUAUGCUGCGAUUACAGACAUGAGCCACCGUGUCUGGCCAGGAACAGCCUGUUAUAUUACGUCAGCUUUAUGACAGACUCCCACAUUUAUCUUUACUUUUCCCAGUUCACUAUGUGCCAGUGAAAUUUCAUGGCGUGUUAGUGAUCUGUGGAUUAACUUUUGAGAAACACUCUUUUAAGUAUCCCUUUAAUAAAUCAGAAUAAAAUAUAGUACAGCCUUUUACUCUAGCCCUUUAUAUGGCUAGAAGAGGUAGAAAUUAAAAUGUUGCUUCUCAUUUCUAGAAGAAAAAAUGUUAAAGGGAGUUUUCUAGCAUUGAUAGAUAACUUACUGUACACGAGAUGCUUAUUUAUAUUUUAUGGUUUUAUAUAGAGCAAGAAUUGGCAAACUUUCUGUAAAGGGCCAGAUAGUAAAUACGUUAGGUGUUGUGGGCCAUGUGGUCCCUGUCACACCUAUUCAACUUCCCCAUUUUAGUACAAAACAGCCAGAGACAAUAUAUAAACUACAGUAUCUGAACCUUGGCACUACCAAUAUUUUGGACCGGAUAAUACUUUGCUAUAGGAAGCUGCCCAGUGCAUCCUGGGAUGUUUAGGGGAAUCCUUGGCUUCUACCCACAAGAUGCCAGCAUUCAAUGCUGAUAGCUGCCCCUCCCCCAGUUGUGACAGUCAAAAAUGUCUCCAGACAUGGCCAGGUGUACCUAGAGGCCAAAAUUGUCCCUGGUUGAGACCCACUGAUGAAUGUGUGCAAUAGUGGUUCCCAUAAACUGCAUUUAAAAAACAGCUGUUAGGUUUCGUUUGGCUCAAGGGCUGUCAUUUUUCACUCCUCCCCCCAUAGAGUAUGUAAAAUGAUUAGAAAUGACAACAGACUAUCAUUUAGUAUCAGAUUAGUGUGUGUAUAUGCCAUAAAUUAUUUCCUUAGCAAUUCCUUUAGUAUUUUUGUUGCAAUAAUUCUUUAAACGCUACAUUUGUAAUGCUGUCUUGGAGCCUAGGAAUUAUUUUUGGAGAUAUUUAUGCAGACUUCCCUCUAUAAUGAUCGGUUUUUUAUUAUGGUUAAUCCAUAAAUAUUUUGAGAUGUAUCUCUAAAAAACGAGCACUCUUUGAAAACAUAACCACAAUGCCAUUAUUAUACCUACAAAAAUUAACCACAAUUCCUUAAAACAUAAUGAUGCCUUUUUGAAGAGAGAUAUAUUGAGACUUCAUUCUGGGGAGAAACCUUUCAGAUAACUUUAUUUACCUUUUCCUUUGCCAAGCAUACAACAUUAGAUUUGAAAUAUGCUUUGUAUCAAGUGGAAGUGUCUCUUAAGAUAGCCCCUAGAACAACACAUCAAGAGGCCCACCAAAGAGGACCAGAGAAAGGUGACUGAAGGAGCCAUACUCAGGCAGGGAAAUACGGAGAGAAAGCAGAGGAAUUGGCUCCUAAUGCUUCACUGUACUUAAUGAAAUAGAUACUCCAUCCUUACAGACAUAAUUGGAAGUAAGUCAAGUUCAACUUCUUUGUUUUAUAUGGAGAUAGAACAGUUUCAAUCACGUGAGUAUUAUAAGUGUGAAUUAUCUAAAGUAAAGCUAUAAAUCCAGAAUAUAUACCAGUAUCUCUAGAAUUUUUCAUAUUACUACAUUUACUUAAAAAAAAAGCUGGCCUCUAACUCUUAAGUCCUGUAUGACUGAUGGGCAGAAAAAGAGUGAGGUAUACACUGUUUCUUAAAAUUGUUCUACCAUGUUUCUAUGGUCUUAGAUUUCCCAAGAAUUUGAAUUUCUCCAAUUGCUUAUUUCCCUGAAAGACAUGACUAUGACUUUUCUCUGUAGUUCCUGCCUCAGUGAUCUCAUACAGUCUUUGGCUUAAAAUACCGUCUCUGUUUAACAGCUGCCAGAUUCACAUCUCCAGCCCAGACCUCUCCCGAACUCCAGCCUUGUUCUAACCUUUGGGCCGUUUCACUAGCUGUUGCAGAUGCCCUAUACCCUUACCUUCUCAUCUUUGCUCAAUUGUUGCCUUCUUACUGAAGCCUAUCCUGUCCAUACUAUUUAAUACUGCAGCUGUCUACCUUCCAGAUCGAGAAAUCCCAUACCCCUUUCACCUGCUCUAUGUUUUUCAUAUCACCUAUCACCCUAGAUACUUCACAUAUUUGUGUUUAUUGUUUACUGUUGUUUCCCCUGGCUAUAAUGUAAGCUCCAUGUGGGCAGGGGCCUUUGUUUUUUUCACUGAUAUAUCACAAGUGCCUAAAACAGUGCCUGACACGCAGAAGGGACUCAGUAAAUAUGUAUUGAAUGGUUUUGAUUUGAACUGAAUUGAACUAUGUAUCCAUGAUGCAAGUAAAGAAAUGUAAUCCAUAUACUUUCCUACCUACA